rnacentral:rRNA from 1 species
AUUGAACGCUGGCGGCAGGCCUAACACAUGCAAGUCGAACGAGUGGCGGACGGGUGAGUAAUGUCUGGGAAACUGCCUUAUGGAGGGGGAUAACUACUGGAAACGGUAGCUAAUACCGCAUACCCUCAGAUGUGCCCAGAUGGGAUUAGCUAGUUGGGGGGGUAACGGCUCACCAAGGCGACGAUCCCUAGCUGGUCUGAGAGGAUGACCAGCCACACUGGAACUGAGACAAGGUCCAGACUCCUACGGGAGGCAGCAGUGGGGAAUAUUGCACAAUGGGAGCAAGCCUGAGGCAGCCAUGCCGAGUGUAUGAAGAAGGCCUUCGGGUUGUAAAGUACUUUCGGCGGGGAGGCGUUACCCGCAGAAGAAGCACCGGCUAACUCCGUGCCAGCAGCCGCGGUAAUUC